AGGUAGUUCCUUCAGUUGUAGUUUCCAAGGUAGUUCCUUCAGUUGUUGUUUCUAAGGUAGUUCCCUCAGUUGUAGUUUCUAAGGUAGUUCCCUCAGUUGUAGUUUCUAAGGUAGUUCCUUCAGUUGUUUUGUUCUAAGGUAGUUCCUUCAGUUGUGUUUCUAAGGUAGUUCCUUCAGUUGUAAGUAGUUUUUCAGUUGUAGUUCUAGUUCCCUUCAGUUGUAGUUUCUAAUGUAGUUCCCUCAGUUGUAGUUUCUAAGGUAGUUCCCUCAGUUGUAGUUUCUAAGGUAGUUCCCUCUGUGGUUGUUUCCAAGGUAGUUCCUUCAGUUGUAGUUUCUAAUGUAGUUCCCUCAGUUGUAGUUUCUAAGGUAGUUCCCUCAGUUGU
rnacentral:lncRNA from 1 species